rnacentral:rRNA from 1 species
CUCCAGACUCCUACGGGAGGCAGCAGUGGGGAAUAUUGCACAAUGGGGGGAACCCUGAUGCAGCGACGCCGCGUGGGUGAAGGAGUUUUUCGGUAUGUAAAGCCCUAUCAGCAGGGAAGAACAAUGACGGUACCUGACUAAGAAGCACCGGCUAAAUACGUGCCGGCAGCCGCGGUAAUACGUAUGGUGCAAGCGUUAUCCGGAUUUACUGGGUGUAAAGGGAGCGCAGGCGGCGCGUUAAGCCUGGUGUGAAAGCCCGGGGCCCAACCGCGGGACUGCAUUGGGAACUGGCGCGCUGGAGUGCCGGAGGGGUAGGCGGAAUUCCUAGUGUAGCGGUGAAAUGCGUAGAUAUUAGGAGGAACACCAGUGGCGAAGGCGGCCUACUGGACGGUGACUGACGCUGAGGCUCGAAAGCGUGGGGAGCAAACAGGAUUAGAUACCCCGGUA